rnacentral:rRNA from 1 species
UUCCGUAGGUGAACCUGCGGAAGGAUCAUUAACGAAUUCAAAGUCGGCCUUGUUGUGCUGGUGGAAACACAUGUGCACACUUGGUCGCAAAUCCACACACCUGUGCAUCUAUGACUCGAGGUUGUCGUCGUAUGACCAAGAGUAACUUUUACACACUCUUGAAUGUAAUGGAAUGUCUAUGUGCAUAAUGUACAAUGAAAACAACUUUCAACAACGGAUCUCUUGGCUCUCGCAUCGAUGAAGAACGCAGCGAAAUGCGAUAAGUAAUGUGAAUUGCAGAAUUCAGUGAAUCAUCGAAUCUUUGAACGCACCUUGCACCCUUUGGUAUUCCGAAGGGUACACCCGUUUGAGUGUCAUUGUAAUCUCACUUCGACGACUUUAUUGUUGUUUGAAUGUGGACUUGGACGUCUGCCGUGUAACAAUGGCUCGUCUUAAAUGCCUGAGUGUACCCCGCUUUGCGGCGUAUUCGGUGUGAUAAACAUUUCACCGGAGUUUGGUCUUUAGUGACCGCGCUUUUAGCAAUUGGUGGGCUCUAUGCUUUCGAACCGUCUGCCUCUGUGGACAAUCUCUUGACAAUUUGACCUCAAAUCGGGUGGGACUACCYGCUGAACUUAAGCAUAUCAAUAAGCGGAGGAAAAGAAACUAACAAGGAUUCCCCUAGUAACGGCGAGUGAAGAGGGAAAAGCUCAAAUUUUGAAUCUGGUGUCUUUGGCGCCCGAGUUGUAAUCUAGAGAAGUGUUUUCCGUGUCGGACCGUGUACAAGUUCCCUGGAACGGGGCGUCAUAGAGGGUGAGAAUCCCGUAUAUGCCACGGACUACCGAUGCUCUGUGAUACACUCUCAACGAGUCGAGUUGUUUGGGAAUGCAGCUCAAAAUGGGUGGUAAAUUCCAUCUAAAGCUAAAUAUUGGCGAGAGACCGAUAGCGAACAAGUACCGUGAGGGAAAGAUGAAAAGCACUUUGGAAAGAGAGUGAAACAGUACGUGAAAUUGUUGAAAGGGAAGCGUUUGAAGUCAGUCACGUUUGUUGGGAUUCAGCCUGGCUUCUGCCUGGUGUAUUUCCUUUCCAACGGGUCAGCAUCAGUUUCGACCGAGGGAAAAAGACAUUUGGAAUGUGGCUGUCUUCGGGCAGUGUUAUAGCCUUGUGUUGUAUGUCUCGGUUGGGACUGAGGAACGCAGCGCGCCAUUUUGGCCGGGGGUCGCUCCUCUCGACACGCGCUUAGGAUGCUGGCAUAAUGGCUUUAAGCGGCCCGUCUUG